rnacentral:sRNA from 1 species
AUGUCUUUUCUUGAUGUUGCUAAGUAUAGCUUUGUUGGCGGCUUCUGCCUGUCCGUUACCUUGUGGGUAACAGGGGGUGGAUGUGGUAAGACGGAUCUUCCACUUGUCGCAGAAUGCUUUGAUUUUUCCCGAGGUGAGGUUAGUCUUAUUAUCGGUGACGAUCUCAUAUGGUAUGCCAUGUCGGCAUACGAUAUUUUCCCACAGGAAGUCCUCAACUUGUUUCUCGGUUAUCUCUUGGAAGGCUUUAGCCUCAAUCCAUUUGGUAGAGUAGUCGGUGAGGACCAGCAGGUUUUUUAGUCUUUUCUUCCCACCGGAGGCUUCCAUGGGACCUACAACGUCCAUGGACCACUUCAUGAACGGGUAAGGAGAAGAUAUCGAGGACAUUUCCUUGGGAGGUUGGUGCAGAGUAGGUGCGUG